UACGGAGGAUGCAAGCGUUAUCCGGAUUUAUUGGGUUUAAAGGGAGCGCAGACGGGUCGUUAAGUCAGCUGUGAAAGUUUGGGGCUCAACCUUAAAAUUGCAGUUGAUACUGGCGACCUUGAGUGCAACAGAGGUAGGCGGAAUUCGUGGUGUAGCGGUGGAAUGCGUAGAUAUCGGGAGGAACACCAGUGGCGAAGGCGGCCUACUGGGCACCAACUGACGCUGAGGCUCGAAAGUGUGGGUAGCAAACAGG
rnacentral:rRNA from 1 species